rnacentral:rRNA from 1 species
CCCUUAGAUGUUCUGGGCCGCACGCGCGCUACACUGAUCGAUUCAACGAGUUUUGAAAUAAUUUUUAUAAUUUUUCAUAUCCUUUGUCGGAAGGCAUGGGUAAUCUUUUAAAUGUCGAUCGUGAUGGGGCUAGAUUCUUGCAAUUAUUAAUCUCCAACGAGGAAUUCCUAGUAAACGCAAGUCAUCAGCUUGCAUUGAUUACGUCCCUGCCCUUUGUACACACCGCCCGUCGCUCCUACCGAUUGAGUGGUCCGGUGAGGCUUUGGGAUCUGAGCGGAAAGAGCGUUUCGCUGUUUCUGCUCGGAAAACUCAGUCGAACCUUAUCAUUUAGAGGAAGGAGAAGUCGUAACA